AGCGAACGCUGGCGGCAGGCCUAACACAUGCAAGUCGAGCGGCCGUAGCAAUACGGCAGCGGCAGACGGGAGAGUAACACGUGGGAACGCGCCCUUCGGUUCGGGAUAACUCAGGGAAACUUGGGCUAAUACCGGAUACGCCCUUACGGGGAAAGAUUUAUUGCCGAAGGAACGGCCCGCGUCCGAUUAGCUUGUUGGUGAGGUAACGGCUCACCAAGGCGACGAUCGGUAGCUGGUCUGAGAGGAUGACCAGCCUCACUGGGACUGAGACACGGCCCAGCCUCCUACGGGAGGCAGCAGUGAGGAAUAUUGGACAAUGGGCGCAAGCCUGAUCCAGCCAUGCCGCGUGGGUGAUGAAGGCCCUAGGGUUGUAAAGCCCUUUCAGCGGGGAAGAUAAUGACGGUACCCGCAGAAGAAGCCCCGGCUAACUUCGUGCCAGCCGCCGCAGUAACAC
rnacentral:rRNA from 1 species